rnacentral:rRNA from 1 species
CCUACGGGUGGCAGCAGUGAGGAAUAUUGGUCAAUGGACGCAAGUCUGAACCAGCCAUGCCGCGUGCAGGAAGACGGCUCUAUGAGUUGUAAACUGCUUUUGUACGAGGGUAAACGCAGAUACGCGUAUCUGUCUGAAAGUAUCGUACGAAUAAGGAUCGGCUAACUCCGUGCCAGCAGCCGCGGUAAUACGGAGGAUUCAAGCGUUAUCCGGAUUUAUUGGGUUUAAAGGGUGCGUAGGCGGUCGGAUAAGUUAGUGGUGAAAGCCCGAGGCUCAACUUCGGAAUUGCAUCUGAUACGGUUCGGCUAGAGAGUAGUAGCGGUAGGCGGAAUGUAUGGUGUAGCGGUGAAAUGCUUAGAGAUCAUACAGAACACCGAUUGCGAAGGCAGCUUACCAAGCUACUUCUGACGUUGAGGCACGAAAGCGUGGGGAGCAAACAGGAGUAGAUACCCUAGUAGUC